GCAUGUGGCAGUUAGUAUGGUAUAUAUGGUAUAUCAACCUGUGAACAGCUCAUGCUGGAAGGAAGCUGUAGCACUAGGCAGUGUGUUUGUUCAGCUGUUGUUCAACCUAGUGCCAGCUGUACUGUUAGCAUGUAGACGUGUAUGUGAAGUGUAUUUGAGUGAAAGCUGAUGAGGUUGUUACAAAGUAGCAACUAUUCCUAAGAAGACAACCCGAGUGUGUAGUGUUGUGACUCCUACAGUUUAUUUUGCUUGUAUGAUGACUUAUUGAAGACAAAUAAUUUUGCUGCAACAAUUUGAACCGAAUUAUUUCUUCCCACAUCAUUGAUUGUUGCAAAUGUGUGAAUUUUACAGAAAAAGUGAGUAAAACGUGUAAAAACC